CCUCAGGGGACCUCUUUGGUGACAUCAUCAUGAGAUGUCAUCAGGUGACAUCAUUAGGUGACAUCUUUUGGUGACAUCAUAAAGGAACAUCAUCAAGGGAAAUCUUUGGUGACAUCAUCCAAGGGACAUCAUCAGAUGACAUCAUCAGAUGACAUCAUCAGGAGAUCAGCGGGUGAAAUGUUUGGGUGCCAUCAUUAAGUGACAUCAUUAUGUGACAUCUUCAGGCGACAUCUUUGGGGACAUCAUCAGAUGACAUCAUCAGGUGACAUCUCCCCAUGACGUCAUGAGGGGACAUCAUCGACAUCUUUCGGUGACAUCAUAAAGGGACAAUAUCAGUGAUUUUAAAGCUUCAGACCAAUCAGCACCACAGACAGGGACAUCAGUGCUUCUCUGUGCAGCAGGUUUGGGCUCACAGCUGCAGUCGCACUCCGAGGAAAGACGAUACUCACAACAGUAGUCGGAGGUCAGGGAAGCGUGACCGAAGCCAGUUGCUGAGUUGACCUCCAACCUCUGCAAGGGAGGGAGGGGUGAGGAGGGGUGAGGAGGGGUGAGGAGGGGUGAGGAGGAGCCUCUUUUGUGUAAAACUACAGUAGACUCUGUCCAAUGUCACUGAAGUACAGAUGG
ensembl:lncRNA